UUUACACUCCAUCUGUCCCAAAAUUAUUGUCUUAGAUUUUCCUAGAUACUGAUGUAUCUAAUACUAAAACGUGACUUGAUACAUCCGUAUUUAGACAAAUCUAAGACAAGAAAUUUGGGAUGAAGGGAGUAUUAU
rfam:Triticum aestivum genome assembly, contig: Triticum_aestivum_CS42_TGACv1_scaffold_405473_5BL